UGACCGCCGUAAACGGUAGACAAGUG
rnacentral:piRNA from 1 species